rfam:Ictidomys tridecemlineatus contig111960, whole genome shotgun sequence.
GGGGUUGUGGCUCAGCGGUAGAGCGCUCGUUUCGUACAUGUGAGACCCUGGGUUCGAUCCUCAGCAUCACAU